ensembl:lncRNA
AUAAUAGUAGAGCAUGAUUUAUUUAAGCUUUUAUUUCUUUCAUCACAUUCCCAGUGGGUCAGAAGUUUACAUACACUUAAUUAGUAUUUGGUAGCAUUGCCUUUAAAUGGUAUAACUUGGGUCAAAUGUUUUUGGUAGCCUCCCGCAAGCUUCCCACAAUAUGUUGAGUGAAUUUUGGCCCAUUCCUCCUGACAGAGCUGGUGUAAAUGAGUCAGGUUUGUAGGCCUCCUUACUCGCACAUGCUUUUUCAGCUCUGCCCACAAAUGUUCUAUAGGAUGGAGGUCAGGGCUUUGUGAUGGCCACUCCAAUACCUUGACUUUGUUGUCCUUAAGCCAUUUUGCCACAACUUUGGAAGUAUGCUUGGGGUCAUUGUCCAUUUGCGACAAAGCUUUAACUUCCUGAUUGAUGUCUUGAGAUGUUGCUUCAAUAUAUCCACAUAAUUUUACUCCUCAUGAAGCCAUCUAUUUUGUGAAGUGCACCAGUCCCUCCUGCAGCAAAGCACCCACACAACAUGAUGCUGCCACUCUGUACUUCAUGGUUGGGAUGGUGUUCUUCGGCUUGCAAGCCUCUCCUUUUUCCUCCAAACAUAACGUUGGUCAUUAUGGCCAAACAGUUCUACUUUUGUUUCAUCAGACCAGAGGAUAUUUCUCCAAAAAGUACGAUCUUUGUCCCCAUGUGCAGAUGCAAACCGUAGUCUGGCUUUUUAUGGCGGGUUUGGAGCAGUGGCUUCUUCCUUGCUGAGCUGCCUUUCAGGUUAUGUUGAAAUAGGACUUGUUUUACUCUGGAUAUAUAUACUUUUGAACCUGUUUCCUCCAUCAUCUUCACAAGGGCCUUUGCUGUUGUUCUGGGAUUGAUUUGCACUUUUCGCACCAAAGUAAGUUCAUCUCUAGGACACGUGUCUCCUUCCUGAGCGGUAAGACGGCUGCGUGGUUCCAUGGUGUUUAUACUUGCGUACUAUUGUUUAUACAAAUGAACGUGAUACCUUCAGGCGUUUGGAAAUUGCUCCCAAGGAUGAACCAGACUUGUGGAGGUCUGCAAUUGGCUGAUUUCUUUUGAUGUCAAGCAAAGAGGCACUGAGUUUGAAGGUAGGCCUUGAAAUACAUCCACAGGUACACCUCCAAUUGACUCAAAUGAUGUUAAUUAGCCCAUCAGAAGCUUCUAAAGCCAUUUUUCCAAGCUGUUUAAAGGCAAAGUCAAUUUAAUGUAUGUCAACUUCUGACCCACUGGAAUUGUGAUACAGUGAAUUAUAAGUUAAAUAAUCUGUCUGUAAACAAUUGUUGGAACAAUUACUUGUGUCAUGCACAAACUAGAUGUCCUAACCGACUUGCCAAAACUAUAGUUUGUUAACAAGAAAUUUGCGGAGUGGUUGAAAAACGAGUUUUAAUGACUCCAACCUAUGUGUAUGUAAACUUCCGACUUCAACUGUAUACGUAGCUGUCUUAUUUGUAUUUGUUCAAUGCCUCAAUUGAUUUCACAAGCUAUAUUGGAUAUAUGGCUGUACUGGUUCGAAUCCACCCAAGAUGAUGAACCCUGAAGAUGGGACAAAGGACAUGACAAGGUGGCCCAGAGGAAGACAGCUGUUCUCAACCCUCACUGAGUUUGAUUGAAGACGUCUAGUGAGGGGUGAGAAGAGCUGACAAAUCAAAACUGAGGAUUCUUACGGCGCCCCAUGAGGAACACCCGCUGACUUCUCUCUCCUGGAUGAUCUCCUGCCCAAACUGUCCCGUUGUGUUUCACUGCCUCUAAACACCGUUACACCAAAUAGUUGCCCUAUUUUAUGCACAAAUGUAUUGUUUUUCUUACAUUUAUUGUAGCUUUCAGGGAGAUUUUCACUGUACGUUUUACAGCAUUAUACUGGCACCAGUGUUGUCAGCUUAAUACUGCAAUUUUGCUGACAUAUAUUUGACAGUACUAUUUGCCUUACUGUAAAACAUUACAUCAUCCCCUUACAGAAGGGAUGCUGUAAUAUGUUUUACGGUAAGGAAAAUAGUACUGUCAAAUAUCACAGCAUCACGGCUGUAAAGCAAAAUUACAGUAUUAAGCUGACAACACUGGUGCAAGUAUAAUGCUGUACAUUUACAGGGAAAAGUCUUACUGUCUAUCCCUUUAAUAAGUGCUUAGUAAUUACCUAGUAAUGGAGUUUUUUUUGUUAUUUUCACAUCCUAUUUCCACCUGUCUGACAAUAAAAACUGCUUAACAACAGGUGUCAAAAUGUGUAAUUACAAAAAAAUGAUCAAAACUAUCAGAACAUGUUAAUACAAUGUUGUUACGAGGGUAAUUGCAGCAUUACUUACUAUACAAGUUUAGAGCAAGUUAACGUAAAGUGUGACCCCGCAUCGUAG